rnacentral:rRNA from 1 species
UACCCGCAGCACAAGUGGUGGUCAUUAUUAUUGGGCCUAAAGCGUCCGUAGCUGGCCUGUUAGAUGCCUGGGGAAAUCGAUGCGCUCAACGUAUCGAACUCCGGGUAGACCGGCAGGCUUGGGACCGGGAGAGAUGUGAGCUACUCGAGGGGUAGGGGUAAAAUCCUGUAAUCCUUCGGGGAGGACCAGUGGCGAAGGCGUCACAUUAGAACGGCUCCGACAGUGAGGGACGAAGCCCUGGGGCGCAAACCGG